AGUUAUUUUGAUUUGGGAUCUUCUAUUCAUGGCUUUUUGGUGCUAUGUUUUUUUUGGUUUCAUUGUUUUGUUUUAUUAAUUUUUGUUUUCAUGUUUUGGUGUGAUUUCUUUCUAUGUGGGAACGAUUUGAUUUUGUUAUUGUUUUGUUUUUUUACAGUUUCUGAAAAUAUCUUUCCCCUUCUAUCCAAUUUUUUGAUUUGGAGAUUAUUCAUUAUUUGGGAAUUGAGAUAUUUCCUCAUGGCUUUUUUGGUUGAAUUCUUAAUCUGAGCUAAUUUCGCUUAUGAUUUUGACAUUUUGGGUUUAUUGGAGCUUUUUUCAGUUUACCUCAGAUGUGAUUUUUUAUUUUGGAUGUAUUUUUUGAUUGCUGGUUUCUUUUUUCGUUUCUGGAUUUCGGGAUUAUCUUAAUCAUUGAUUUCUUUAUUAAACCAUUACCUCAGAAGUAGUGAAUCCUUCAGAAGUCUUGAAUUUUUUUUAUGAGAUUUACUAAGGUUGGACCUCUAUUUAGAAAGAUAAGACUAGAAGUAUUUUUUUAAUAUGGUCUCUCUUACAUUUGUGUGCUAAUAUAAGGUCUUUAGAUGAAUAGGGGAUGGCUUAGGAUUUUUAUGUUAUGGCAAUACUUGUAUGUUUGGGUUUCUAGGACCUCUUUAUACAAGGAGAAACCUUAUGUUCUAUGAGAGAGGUAUAUUUACUGAAGUUUUUGUCAAGAUAUUUGCUUUGCGUUUCCCUUCUCACUAAGGUAUUGUCAUCAAUACUAUUUUCUAUUUCCGCGUAAUCUUCUUGUUCUUCCUCAUCUUAAUGUUGUCAUUGUUGUUUGCCAUUUCAUUCCAAUAUAGCCUGUAGGUGAUCUUUGCCUUUUAACCUCUCUCUUUGUUGGAAAAGUAGGUGUUGAUGGAAUCUUUUAACACUCAUAUUUCACAAGGUUUGCUCUCUAAAUUCGUAAUUUUAGUAGUUCUUGCGUCAUUACAUUAUAGUCAAUUACUAUAUUUAAUUCCAACGUAGGUUUAGGUGAUUCAGUCUUUUAUUAUAAUAUCUUAAGAAGAAGUACAUGAGAUGAAAGAACAAUUUUAAAGUUCAAUAAGUUGUCUACUCGUGUGUUAUUUCAACUUUAAGAUUUUAUUGGAUUUCUUCAGAUUGAAACUAUAAACCCUCUCUCUGUCAUUGUAUAGGCCACUUCUACGUGUUUUUGCUUUUAAAAUGUUGCAUGGAUUCAAAUAUAUGUUUUUUUGGAAGGGGACAUGUUUGGUUACGAGAAAAUAUUAUUUUCAAGAGAGGUCAAAACCCAACAGAAAUGUGUGAGGUAUUAAUGGUAAUAUGGUUUAAAUUAUUUCAGUGAAAUGGUAUAUUAUUUUAUGAGCCACUUCUACGUGUCAUUUGCUACUGUUGCAUGGAUUCAAAUAUAUGUUUUGUGGAGGAGGACAAGCUUGGUUACUGAAAAAUAUCAUUUAUGAGGGAGGUCAAAGCCCAACAGGCCACAUAGAAGUCUGAGAUCAAUAUGAUGGUGUUGUAGGUGGUGAUUAUCUAUACUUGUUUCAAUUCUCUCUGGGUGCAUGCUGUUGUUUAAGUUGCAGUUACGAUAGGUAUAUAACUCUGCCCUAUUCACAUUCUGAGAAAUAUUGUUCCCUUCUCUCAAAUAACUAUAACUUGAAAAUAUGCAUAUUCGCAUGCACAUCGCUUUGUUCUCUAACAGCCUCUUAGUGGCGGAUUAUUUUUUCUCAUUUUCAUGUGAUCAUUCUUUUUUGAAAUUUGAUAGUAACAAUUGGGAUGCAUCGAAUCUUGUGCAACCUCUUUGUUUUGGUGAAAAAGAAGAUAUUGCAUGGUCAUUUUAACAUAACCAUAUUUUUCAUACCCCGCUUUCUAAGUUUCUAACUUAGUUUGUGGUUGCUUUAGAUGAAUUGUCUUAGAGGAGUUGUGACUUUUUGGUCGUUCUUGUCUUUACUUUCUUAGGAAUUACGUUAUGGUUUUUGAUGAGCCAAAUAUAUGAAUUGUUUUAAAUGCCAUCUCGGCGAUUUAAAGUAAUAGGCAAUAGCAAGCAUGAUAAGGCUGGCUUUUCUUUCUACUGGAUUGGAUUGCUAUUCUAUUGUAUAUGACAAGAUUGAAUUUGAUCUAAAUGAAUUAUUCUAUUCUAACUGAUAGGAUAUGAUGCAGUCUUAGGAAAAAAAAUAUUCCAACUAAUUGAUAUGAUGUGGCUUUCUGUACAAUGACAUUGAAAAUCAUCUCGCUCAUUCUGCGCUUUUUGCUUUUGAUUAAAAUUGAGUUUUCACAUAAAAUUGUUUGAAAUGCUAGUAUUGGAUGAGCCAGUGAGCUAAUAUUAUAUGGCACAUGCCUUUACCUAUAAAUUUGUGGACAUUUUCAAGAAGGAAUUUUGUGGAUGAGGAUAGGUUUGGUUAUCUAAAGAUAUCAUUUUUGAUAGAUAUGAGAUUCCAGCAGAGAAUAUUUGAAGUUUGUAUUUUCCUUCUCAUCUUAGAUUUACCAACCUAGAUACUCGAUAUCUCCAAAUGCUUUUUAUCAUGGAGUGCAUGGUAAAACAAAAUUUUAUGUCAGCAAUUGACAUGUAUGUAUCUUGCUUUGCUUACGCUUGUUUUUUUAACUUUCCAACUUCUUUUGUUCCCCUCCCUCAAACAGCUUUGAUUUAUGCAGAUGUGCAUUUCACAUUAUUCUCUAUUUCUCUGACAACUCUGUUUUGAAGUUUUUUAUGGAAUGAGGAUAGAUUUGAUCAUCUAAAGAUAUCAUUUCUGAUAGACAUGAAAUCCCAACAGAGAAGAUUGAGCUAGGACGGGCGGUAGGAAACAACUGAAUCGAUCCACCUCUGUCAUAGGAAGAUAUUCUCAACUUCCCUGCUAACACGACUGAGGUAAUUCCUGACACCUAGAACCACCUCGCAUCCCAUCAUAGGAUAGCGUCAGACGUGUUGGAUCAGGUUUAAAAGGAAAGGGAGCGAGUCCCUAACGAUAACUUGGGUAAGAAUCGGACGGUUCAUAGUUGGACACACGUCCCUCGUACUGUAGUAUAAAUAACCAAAUCUCACCAAAGGUGAGGGAUCUCCUUUUUCUCUCUCGGAGGCUAACUCUCUGAAGUCCUCUUCGACACUGCUCCCAUCCCAGUCAUUCUUUCACAUUUUGGAUCAGUUCUCAUUUACUCCUCUUACAUUCGUUUAUUUAUUCAAAAGAGCAUUUGGUUUCCUCACUAACUUGAGCGUCAGAGUGUCUUUAGCAGGUAUUACACCGGUGCUCGGAUCUCACAUUGGUUCCUCUAUCCAGUUCACAGGUUAUUGGUAGCUCAAUGUUAUAAAUCUUUGAUUGUAGAUUUUAGCCUCUACACUUUGCUCUUUUAAUGGCUUUGCGUUGGAAUUCCUGGGCUAUAAGUUCAUAUGUAGUUGGGAAUACAAGUUUAGUGGCAUCAGAGAAUAUAGGAUCCAUGGCAGCCGGGAAUACAUGAUCCAUGACUACCGAAAAAUGAAAAUUACUGAUGAGGAACAAGACGAUUUGAGGAAGAACUGGGGAAGAGAGAGGGAAAUGAAAAAUUAGGAGUUUCAACUUUUGGUCCCCUAAACAAAUGAAAAAAUAAAGAAUAUUUAACUAACACCAUAUUAAUCUGACGAUUGUUGAUGUUGAUUGGUUGGGUCCAGUGUUUUCCAACACUGGAUCGCCCCUCAAUAGAGUAAUGCUUGUAAAAAAAAAAAAAAAAAA